rnacentral:rRNA from 1 species
UACGUAGGGUGCAGGCGUUAAUCGGAAUUACUGGGCGUAAAGCGUGCGCAGGCGGUUUGUUAAGAGAGAUGUGAAAUCCCCGGGCUUAACCUGGGAACUGCGUUUCUAACUGGCAAGCUUGAGUGUGGCAGAGGGGGGUGGAAUUCCACGUGUAGCAGUGAAAUGCGUAGAUAUGUGGAGGAACACCGAUGGCGAAGGCAGCCCCCUGGGCUAACACUGACGCUCAUGCACGAAAGCGUGGGGAGCAAACAGG